AGCUUUGUGCAGUGGCAGUAUCCUAUCCAAUAAGGUUUAUCCAAGGCGCGAUAACUGCUAAGUGAAAAUUUUUCUACUAGCAAAAACAAUCUUCAUAUGAACUCAGGACAAUAUUCUUUAACUGAAAUCUCUAUUCCGCAGAG
rfam:Fukomys damarensis contig150883, whole genome shotgun sequence.